rnacentral:rRNA from 1 species
GAUGAACGCUGGCGGCGUGCCUAAUACAUGCAAGUCGAGCGAACAGAUGAGAAGCUUGCUUCUCUGAUGUUAGCGGCGGACGGGUGAGUAACACGUGGGUAACCUACCUAUAAGACUGGGAUAACUCCGGGAAACCGGGGCUAAUACCGGAUAAUAUUUUGAACCGCAUGGUUCAAUAGUGAAAGACGGUUUCGGCUGUCACUUAUAGAUGGACCCGCGCCGUAUUAGCUAGUUGGUAAGGUAACGGCUUUUCCAGGCGACGAUACGUAGCCGACCUGAGAGGGUGAUCGGCCACACUGGAACUGAGACACGGUCCAGACUCCUACGGGAGGCAGCAGUAGGGAAUCUUCCGCAAUGGGCGAAAGCCUGACGGAGCAACGCCGCGUGAGUGAUGAAGGUCUUCGGAUCGUAAAACUCUGUUGUUAGGGAAGAACAAAUUUGUUAGUAACUGAACAAGUCUUGACGGUACCUAACCAGAAAGCCACGGCUAACUACGUGCCAGCCGCCGCAGUAA